AUUGAACGCUGGCGGCAUGCCUUACACAUGCAAGUCGAACGGCAGCACGGGAGCAAUCCUGGUGGCGAGUGGCGAACGGGUGAGUAAAGUAUCGGAACGUGCCCAGUCGUGGGGGAUAACGUAGCGAAAGUUACGCUAAUACCGCAUACGAUCUAUGGAUGAAAGCGGGGGAUCGCAAGACCUCGCGCGAUUGGAGCGGCCGAUAUCAGAUUAGGUAGUUGGUGGGGUAAAGGCUCACCAAGCCGGCGAUCUGUAGCUGGUCUGAGAGGACGACCAGCCACACUGGGACUGAGAAACGGCCCAGACUCCUACGGGAGGAAGCAGUGGGGAAUUUUGGACAAUGGGCGCAAGCCUGAUCCAGCCAUGCCGCGUGCAGGAUGAAGGCCUUCGGGUUGUAAACUGCUUUUGUACGGAACGAAAAGGUUUGGCCUAAUAAGCUGAGCUCAUGACGGUACCGUAAGAAUAAGCACCGGCUAACUACGUGCCAGCAGCCGCCGUAA
rnacentral:rRNA from 1 species